AUGAGCAGCACUACAAUUGCAGGCCUGUUGGGAGAGCAAGAAAAAGCAGAGAACUAAACACAAGGGAAAGUUGAGAACUAAAUUGUGCAUGAAAUCAGCUGCGGGUACAUAAUAUGGAUGUAUUCCACAGGUGACUGACUUGUGAAAAAGCUGACCAGAAAACUGGAGUUGCUGAUGCAGCUGAAAGAACUCAGCAAGCUGUCACUUCCAGCCACUCCAAGCAUCCAAGGAUCUUGUGAGAAGAAUGCAGAUGCUUAACUCGGUGGAAGAGAAAAGAAGUCAAACCUGGGCUUUAAGAGAACUCCACUGUUUUUCACAAGUCACAGCCCUUGGGAGGAUGCCGAAUCAGCAGCAUAAUCCUCAGCCAAGAUCCCAGGCACACCCUCAUGCCCUGCAACUCAGCACAUCUGCCCUCCCCAUGGGACAGCAGGCUGGUUCCUUGGGCCUCACUACACUGAUACAGAGGAUGCCGAGGGGCCACGCAGAACCUCUG